GCCUUCUUGGCUCAGCUGGUUAGAGCGCAGGUCUCAUACUGCUGUGUGAGGGGUGUCACACCCUGUAAUCCUGAGGUCGCAAGUUCGAGCCUUGCAGAGGGCA